GCUAGCGUAGCCUAACCUGAAGGCGUAACACUGAAGAUGUUAAAAUGGACCCUAGACGAGUCCCGCAAGCA
rnacentral:tRNA from 1 species